GCUCACUGAUUAUUUAAAGAGCCGCGGUAUUUUGACUGUGCAAAGGUAGCAUAAUCAUUAGUAUAUUAAUUGUAUACUGGAAUGAAAGGUUUGACGAGAAAUAUACUGUCUCUAUUUAAUUUAUAUAAUUUUACUUUCUAGUGAAAAGGCUGGAAUUUUUUUUUAGGACGAUAAGACCCUAUAGAGUUUUAUUUUUUUAUUUGCUAUAUAAUUUGUUUUAUUUUUUUUAUUUAGUAUAUAUUUAAUUUUGUUGGGGUGAUGUGAAUAAUAGUUAAACUAUUCAUUAAUUUUUUUUCAUUGAUUUAUGUUGUUUUUGAUCCUUUAUUAUUGAUUUUAAGAUUAAAUUACCUUAGGGAUAACAGCGCAAUUAUUUUUGAGAGUUCUUAUUGAUAAAAUAGAUUGUGACCUCGAUGUUGGAUUAAGGUUAUUAUUUGGGUGAAGAUGCUUAAAUUAUUGGUCUGUUCGACCAUUAAAAUCUU
rnacentral:rRNA from 1 species